GGUCAGUGAUGAGCUGUAAAAGGUCUGAUUCCCACAAUCCUCUGCUGCCUCCGGCUCCCAGCAGCUCGCUCUCUGCUCCCAUCAUGCUCUAGCCAUGCAGCCAUGGGCCCAGCAGCUGCUGACACACAGGAUGUGACAUCACACAGGGUGUGACAUCACUGAGAGGCUGAGCUCAGAACCUGCAGCCUCCCUGUGAUGUUGAUCCAACAUGACCAAUCAGGAAGGAGCAUCAGGAGGAAGAGGAGAAAGAGGGAGCUGAUCUCAAGUUUUCAAGCUGAGACC
ensembl:snoRNA